UACAGAGGUCUCAAGCGUUGUUCGGAUUCAUUGGGCGUAAAGGGUGCGUAGGCGGUGAGGCAAGUCUGGUGUGAAAUCCCGGAGCUCAACUCUGGAACUGCACUGGAUACUGCUUUACUAGAGCACUGGAGAGGGAACUGGAAUUUACGGUGUAGCAGUGAAAUGCGUAGAGAUCGUAAGGAAGGCCAGUGGCGAAGGCGAGUUCCUGGACAGUUACUGACGCUGAGGCACGAAGGCCAGGGGAGCAAACGGG
rnacentral:rRNA from 1 species